AGAGUUUGAUCCUGGCUCAGGGUGAACGCUGGCGAUGUGCCUAAGACAUGCAAGUCGAGCGGGACUCAUUGUUUACACUAAGUUUCUUAUUAUCAGAGAUUUAGUGUAGACAAUUAGUUUAGCGGCGAACGGGUGAGUAAUGAGUACAAACAUGCCCCUUUGUAGGACAUAGUCCGCCGAAAGGCGGGGUAAUUUCCUAUAGUAUCUUCGGAUUAAAGACGCAAGUCGCGAAGGGAUUGGUGUACUCGCUACCAGCUUGUUGGUGAGGUAAUGGCUCACCAAGGCUAUGACGGCUACCGGCUCUUAGCGGAGAGUCCGGCACAAUGGGACUGAGACACGGCCCAUACUUCUACGGAAGGCAGCAGUUAGGAAUUUUGCGCAAUGGACGAAAGUCUGACGCAGCGACAUCGCGUGUGGGAUGACGGCCUUAGGGUUGUAAACCACUUUUUGGGAGCCAUGAAGGCGCCCAGAAUAAGGAACUACUAACUACGUGCCAGCAGUCGCGGUAAUACGUAGGUUCCGAGCGUUACCCGGAUUUAUUGGGCGUAAAGGGUCUGCAGGUGGUUUUCUAAGUCUUGUUUCAAAGUCCCCGACUUAAUCGGGGGAAGGGGCAGGAUACUGGAAGACUAGAGUUAUAUCGGGGUUACUGGAAUUUGUGGUGUAGGGGUAAAAUCCGUGGAUACCACAAAGAACACCAAGCGCGAAGGCGGGUAACUAGGUAUAUACUGACACUCAUAGACGAAAGCUAGGGUAGCCAAUCAGAUUAGAGACCUGAGUAGUCCUAGCCGUAAACAUUGUCU
rnacentral:rRNA from 1 species